rnacentral:rRNA from 1 species
AUUGAACGCUGGCGACAUGCCUUACACAUGCAAGUCGAACGGCAGCACGGGUGCUUGCACCUGGUGGCGAGUGGCGAACGGGUGAGUAAUACAUCGGAACAUGUCCUGUAGUGGGGGAUAGCCCGGCGAAAGCCGGAUUAAUACCGCAUACGAUCUACGGAUGAAAGCGGGGGACCUUCGGGCCUCGCGCUAUAGGGUUGGCCGAUGGCUGAUUAGCUAGUUGGUGGGGUAAAGGCCUACCAAGGCGACGAUCAGUAGCUGGUCUGAGAGGACGACCAGCCACACUGGGACUGAGACACGGCCCAGACUCCUACGGGAGGCAGCAGUGGGGAAUUUUGGACAAUGGGCGAAAGCCUGAUCCAGCAAUGCCGCGUGUGUGAAGAAGGCCUUCGGGUUGUAAAGCACUUUUGUCCGGAAAGAAAUCCUUGGCCCUAAUACGGUCGGGGGAUGACGGGACCGGAAGAAUAAGCACCGGCUAACUACGU